rnacentral:tRNA from 1 species
AAAGUAGUUGAAUGGUUUACAGCAUGGUCUUGAGAAUGAACGGUUAUGGGUUCAAAUUCCAGUGGG